AACGAACGCUGGCGGCGUGCUUAACACAUGCAAGUCGAACGAGACGUUCGGGCCUUGUGGGGCUGGGGGGGGUAACGCGUGGGGAGUUGCCCGUAGGUUAGGAACCACUCCCUGUAAGGGGUGUUAAUACCGGAUAAGGUCUUAGGACAUAAGAUUUCUUGCUUUUGGAUGGGCCUGGGUUGGAUUCGUUGGUUGGUAGGGGAAUAGCCUACCAUGGCGUCGAUGCAUAGCUGGUCUGUGAGGAUGACCAGCCACACUUGGACUGAGGCACGGCCCAGACUGGGACGGGAGGCAGCAGAAGAGAAUACUAGACGAGGAACGAAAGCCUAAUCCAGCCGUGCCGCGGAAGUGAGGAAGGCGUUAGUAUUCUAAAGCUCUUUGAGACGGGACGAGAGUGACAGUACCGGGAAAAGAAGCACCGGCUAACUACGUG
rnacentral:rRNA from 1 species